rnacentral:rRNA from 1 species
UACGUAGGGAGCAAGCGUUGUCCGGAAUCAUUGGGCGUAAAGCGCGCGUAGGCGGCCCCGUAAGUCCGCUGUGAAAGUCAAAGGCUCAACCUUUGAAAGCCGGUGGAUACUGUGGGGCUAGAGUACGGAAGAGGCGAGUGGAAUUCCCGGUGUAGUGGUGGAAUGCGUAGAUAUCGGGAGGAACACCAGUGGCGAAGGCGGUUGCCUGGGGCUUUGCUGACGCUGAUGCGCGAAAGCGUGGGGAGCGAUCCGG